GCUCCCAUGGCGUAGUGGUCACUGCACUCGCCUUGCACGCGGGAGACCCGGGUUUGAUUCCCAGUGAGGUCA
rnacentral:tRNA from 1 species